ensembl:miRNA
AAGCAGGAGGUGUCAGAAAAGUUACCACAGGGAUAACUUGCUUGUGGCAGCCAAGUGUUCGUAGCAACAAUGCUUUUUGAUCCUUUGA